AACUCAAAUUUCAUAAGGCUUAAUUCUCCUAAACUCCCGUCUUUUAUUUUGUUAGGCAGCCGGAUGUACUUGUGUUUGAGUGCUGUUUGAUAGUGUGGUGAAAGUGCGCAGGGGAGUGGAGACGGGCUGAGCGAGGACUCAAACACGCACAGGUUUCACACGCACACACGCGCGCAACACACACUGAGAGGAAAAAGGGUCGCUCAGAAGUCUUUUUUUCUGCGCCUUUUGCUUCUCUUGCCGGCAGGAAGAGGAAAAGUUUCCAGAGGAGGCUCAGACACAAGAGCCUCGCUUCUUUUGAACCAACCAAGGAAUUCCUUUUUUGUGUGUGUUCUCUUUCUGUUCCAACUGGAAAGAAUCUUUACAUUCAUCCCUUGCUCGUCCACGCACGCUGCGAGAACUCUCGAAUCUUGCAGAUUGCCAGUCAGUCUCCGUGCUGAGGAGGAAAAGCAGAGGAGCGCUGACCAAAGAGGACAAAUACACAUCAGUUAUGGCAGCGGUCUUGCCAAGGACGCUGGGUGAACUGCAGCUCUACCGGAUCCUGCAGCGAGCCAACCUCCUCUACUACUACGAAGCCUUCAUCCAGCAGGGCGGCGAUGAUGUGCAGCAGCUGUGCGAGGCCGGCGAGGAGGAGUUCCUGGAGAUCAUGGCGCUAGUCGGUAUGGCCAGCAAGCCGCUGCACGUACGGCGUUUGCAGAAAGCGCUCCGCGACUGGGUCACCAACCCAGCCAUCUUCAACCAGCCUCUCACCUCGCUGCCGGUCUGCAGCAUCCCCGUCUACAAGAUGCCCGAGGGCUCGCCGACACUGCUGGGUUCCCAGGACCGGGCAAACACGUCCAGCACCAAGAUACCCAAAGCGGUCGCCACCUGCUCUGACGCAGGAAAGCCGGACUUGACUCGAGACAAAGUGUCUGUAGGGUCUCCCCUUCAGAGCAACAGUGAAGCUCGGUUCUGGUCGGGACAUAGCAACGAUAGCGAGCACAGCCUUUCCCCCUCUGACCUCGGGUCCCCAUCCUCGCCCAGAGACGGGAUGGAGGCCCUGGAUGCGGCUGCAGUGCAGUCGGUUCUGGAAUGUGUGGACAGGAUGGCACCAGGGCUCGCCAAGGCGGACAUUGCUGACAUCAAAGAGCAGCUUAAGAGCAACAAGAAACUAGCAAAGAUGAUCGGACACAUCUUUGACUUGAGUGAUGAUGACCCGCGGAGGGAGGAGGAGAUUCGCAAAUACAGCGCCAUCUACGGACGCUUCGAUUCAAAGAGGAGGGACGGCAAACACCUGACGCUCCACGAGCUGACAGUGAACGAGGCGGCGGCGCAGCUCUGCAUGAGGGACACGGCUCUGCUGACCCGCCGAGACGAGCUGUUUGGACUCGCUCGGCAGAUCUCCAGAGAGGUCACCUAUAAGUACACAUACCGCACCAGCAAGUCUCGCUGUGGAGAUGAGCCGUCUCCUAAAAGAAUUAAAACCGAGGAGAACUUCUUCGACAUCCAGGAGGCACUGCAGGCCAUCCACAUGAGGCAGGAGAUGCUGAGGGAGCAGCUGGCCUGCGCCAAGUCCAAAGGAGACGAAAGCAUUGGUCGUAAUCUGCAGAUGCAAUUGGAGCGUCUGCUGGCGAGGCAGAUGGAGAUCCUGCAGGACGCCGCAGUGCAAGAGCGACUGCAGGCUCUGGACUGGAGGAUCCCCCCUGCCGCCUUAAAGUAUCUCGCCGACGCCCAGAACACCAACGGGGCUGCCGGGGACGCCAGCAGGGAGACGCAAGGUAAAAGCAGUCACAAGAUGAGCGACCCAUGAACUUGAGGGUUGUGAGUCAAACCAUGCAGGAAGGUGACCUCCCAUUGGGCAAGCAGCUGGCCAAUGAGCUGAAACGUCAUCACAACCACAACAACAGCAGCACAGAAGAGACCAAAACAGCAACGGAAAACGGGAUUUCACAGCGGGCGUCCAGCAUCACGGACAGAAAGACCAUCAAGUCAGAACCCGAAGACUCCACAUAGUGCCUCCUGCUUGCUCCGCCCCCUCGUCUCAUCGUAGUAUGCAGUAUUCAGCCGUCACUAGAAACUAAGCAAGCACAGCCACAGUAGAGCCUUAACAACCAAUGUUGCCUCAUGAAGAGCAUUUAUUUUUUUUCCUUGAUUUCGUCUUUGUGUCAGUGCCAAUGCAUCCAGCGAGCAUGAAGGCAUGCCCUCUCAAUGCUUGGCAGGUCUGGACUAGAAGUACGUUUGGACACACUUACCUCUCUGAACGAUUUUUUUUUGUUGUUGUUGUUGCUCUGCCGCUGACCUUCUCCCAAAUCCAACAUUCGUCUGCAUUUGUGCUGAAAAGUCACAGGUACUGUCGGGAGUGUGGGCCCAGUCCCAGCAGCAGGUUGCUUUGCUUUGCUUUGUGGUCGGGAUGACUCCGCCUCUUCCCGCUCUUGUCUUAUGUAUAUCUAUGGGAGGUCUUUCCAGAAGCAGUUUUUUAAGAUCAGGGUGGGGGUCCAGGUACUGCUUCACGUAACACUGCUGGUGACCCCGAACCACACAUCUGCAAACAGGAUAUCCCAGACUGAAGAUGUGUUAUUCUCACCUUCAGGUGUGUGUGUGUCCUUGCUGAGUGUAAAUAUUGUAGUUGUGUGAUAACAAAUACCCGUUCUGCUCUGUCAUGCGUAACUUUGCUGUAAUUAUGUGUGUCAAUACCGUUCAUGUGCAUAAAAAAAGAACUUAGAUGGAAAAAAAUCCAAGUAUGAAAGUGUGUGGUAUAUGAAAUGCUUUACACCACAACACCCGAUGAUGUUGACUAGCCGGCUGUUAAUGCAUAUUUCAUAUGUGAGUUGUUUUUAGCUGUAGAAACAUGACAAGCGUUCCGUGUGUCCUGACAAGUUGGUCCAACUCUCCUCCUUUUUUCCCAUUCAGUGGCAGACCAAUGCAAUAUACACGUGACUAACAUGUAUUGAGUGGACAUGUAUGAUUGUUUUGUGACUGUAUGUUGGUCCUCCACGUAAUGUUGUCUGAAUGUGCAGCACACUGUAUUUGUAUUUAAAGGUUUCCUUCAUGGAGUUCAGUGUUGUGUUCAAGCAGCCAACUCGUGAAGACUUGUGAUGAUGUUGUAAUGUUUCUCCCCCCGCAGCAGGAGACCUUGUCGCCCUCUCCUUACAGUCUCCUCACAGUGAUAGAUUAGGCUCCACCUAGUUAUGCACCUGUUUUUUUUAAACACUAAUAUAUUUUAUUUGCUAUUCAGCACAUGACAUUAAAUUGUAUUUUUUGAACCCUA